rnacentral:lncRNA from 1 species
UUCAUCAUUUUACCAUUCACACAAAGAAAAAAAAACAAACAAAACCCUCUUGUGCUCUCUUUCCCUAAGGCACUACUAACACACAUAUCACCACGAUUUUCUAAUUCAAAAACUUCCAUAAAUCAAGCAUUUCAAGCUAUUUCAUGAUGACCCAAGAGUGUUUCAAGUAAGGAGAAGCAUUAAGGGGCACUUUGGAGCAUCUAAACCUUCAUAAUCUUAUCUUAAAGUUCACAAAGUUGUAAGACCUCAUACACUUAUUUUUAAGUUUGUUAUAUUAUGUAGAUCAUAAUAUACAAAGUGUUCAUCUUGAACAUCUUACAAAACAAAGCUUAAAAAAACUCUAAUCUCAUCAUAAAAGUCUAAUAAAUAAGAUGGAUAUUGUGUUGGUUUUGUUAAUAUGUGUGUUUACAAAGAUAAUCUUGUACAAAUUAGGCUAGUAAGGAUGAUCUAAACAUUUAUGUUUAGAUCUUAACAAGAUCAUCAUCCAUAUAAUACAUGAACUUUAUAUUAAACUUGAAAAUGAUUUAUGACCAAAAUAACUUUUAUAAAAAUUAAACAUUAUGAUUACACUAUAAAAGUGUUAAAAGUAUGUUUAACAAAGUAGUUUAAAUGAAGGAUCAAGACUUCAAAGUAUGUUAAAUUUAUUUUUCUAGUAAACUUGUUAAAAGAUUUAAAUUGUGCUAUCAUUUUCUUACUAGAAACGUGAUUAAGAAUAUAUAAAGUUCAAAGGUUAUAUGGACAAUUAUGUGGGAGAUAUUACUUGAAAAGUGGUGUUUUUAGAACUUGAUUGGAAAUUGAUUGUGAUUAUGGAUUUAAACAUGAAAUUAAUACGUUUUUAAAACGUGGAAAAUGCCAUAGUUUAGGGGAAACUAUGGCUAAAUUUUUCUAUAAUAUUAAUCGAGAUUAAAAAGAGAUUAACGGGUUGAUUAACAUGGUUAAUCGUGAUUAGUAAACUUAAUUGUGAUUAACAACCCUAUUCAUGAUUAGACAAACCCUAAUGACGAUGGUUAAGUACUAACCAUCCAAGAGUUUAUACAAACUCAAAAAGAUAUUUUUAUAAGAUAAAAGUGGGUAAAGUUUAUAAAUAAAACAAUAAAUAUAAUUUUUGGAAAAUUAUAUAUAUACAUAUGAUAAAUACCCUACUUGGUGUAUAAUAUGUGUAUAAUUAUGUGUAUGUAUUAGUCUUAGGAAUACUUACUAAAACAAUCCAUACAUUACUU